rnacentral:rRNA from 1 species
UACGUAGGGGGCUAGCGUUGUCCGGAAUCAUUGGGCGUAAAGCGCGUGUAGGCGGUUCGAUAAGUCCGCUGUGAAAGUCGGGGGCUCAACCCUCGGAAGCCGGUGGAUACUGUCGGGCUAGAGUACGGAAGAGGCGAGUGGAAUUCCUGGUGUAGCGGUGAAAUGCGCAGAUAUCAGGAGGAACACCAAUUGCGAAGGCAGCUCGCUGGGACGUUACUGACGCUGAGACGCGAAAGCGUGGGGAGCAAACAGG